rnacentral:rRNA from 1 species
GACGAACGCUGGCGGCGUGCUUAACACAUGCAAGUCGAACGGAAAGGCCCUGCUUUUGUGGGGUGCUCGAGUGGCGAACGGGUGAGUAACACGUGAGUAACCUGCCCUUGACUUUGGGAUAACUUCAGGAAACUGGGGCUAAUACCGGAUAGGAGCUCCUGCUGCAUGGUGGGGGUUGGAAAGUUUCGGCGGUUGGGGAUGGACUCGCGGCUUAUCAGCUUGUUGGUGGGGUAGUGGCUUACCAAGGCUUUGACGGGUAGCCGGCCUGAGAGGGUGACCGGCCACAUUGGGACUGAGGUACGGCCCAGACUCAUUCGGGAGGCAGCAGUGGGAAAUAUUGCACAAUAGGCGGAGGCCUGAUACAGCAACGCCGCGUGCGGGAUGACGGCCUUCGGGUUGUAAACCGCUUUCGCCUGUGACGAACCGUGAGUGACGGUAAUGGGUAAAGAAGCAACGGCUAACUACGUG